CUUAGUGGCGCACGGGUGCGUAACGCGUGGGAAUCUACCCUUAGGUGCGGAAUAACAGUUAGAAAUGACUGCUAAUACCGCAUAAUGACUCCGGUCCAAAGAUUUAUCGCCUAAGGAUGAGCCCGCGUAAGAUUAGCUAGUUGGUGAGGUAAAAGCUCACCAAGGCGACGAUCUUUAGCUGGUCUGAGAGGAUGAUCAGCCACACUGGGACUGAGACACGGCCCAG
rnacentral:rRNA from 1 species